ACCAGCUCCGAAAAAAAGAAAAGAAAAAAAAAAGUAAUGCCAGUUAUACAAAAAGUUAUGAGAGCGGGAAUAAACUUCACUCAUUUAACAGUUGCCCACUGCAUCCCUUUAUGUGGGUCAAGCAGUCCCCUAAAUAUUAAAUCUGUCUUCAGGAAACAUAACUUUUCUUAAAACUAUCUUUCUUGAGGUAGUCUUCAUAAUAAGCACCGCUCAUUUUAUUUAGUUAUUUUGGGGGCGGGGAGUGGCGGCAGGGAGAGGCACAUGCAUGCCACUGUGAGAGGUAUGGAGGUCAGAGGGUAACUUGUGAGAGUCAGUUCCCUCUCCUUCAUUUGGGUCCUUGGGAUUGGGUCCUUGGGCUUGGUGGCCGCUGCCUUUACCUGCUGAGCCAUCCCACCAGCCCCCAAUUUACCUGUCUAAAGUGUACAGGGUAUGUUUCUGACAAUAGCGUAAGGUAGUAUAACCUUUGCCCAAGUCAAGACACAGAACAUUUCGUCACCCUGAGAAGUUGCUUCACAAAUUCACCGUGACCUUCGCCCCUCCCCCAAGUCAUGGGGCAACAACCGAUCUGAUAUUCGGUCUUUAUCCUUUUGCUUUUUUUGUAAAAUAAUGAGGAACAGACAUUCUCAGUGGGAGCUACAGCCAAAUACCGGAAUAGGGAUUUUCACCGGCAAGUAGGCAAGAGCUCUGAGCAAGACAUGGCUAUGCUGUAGAACAUGUAAGGUAAGACGGAGCUUCGGAGCUGAGGUCUGGGGGUCAGCAAUCGGCCACACGACUGGCUCACCCAGGACCUCAUUUUCAUAGCUCAAAGAUUGAGGAGGUGGCAGAGAAAACAGUUCAAGCAAGGGGGCUCUUUGCAAGCUUCAUGUGGCCUUUGUCCUCACCAGAGCCACUUUGUGACUCCCUGCCCCAGACCAGUCAGUGACAGGAUCCAAUUUGCAUUCUGGAAGGAUUAUUCCACUCACUAGGAAACAGAGGCAGGGAAGAGUUGGAGGCCUGAAGUGAGACUGGUAGCCUCAGCCACGGCUGUGGUGGGCAGGAGUAGUCAGAUACAGUCGGCCUUUAGGAGGUAGGGUUCCAGGACUUAGUAGGAUGGUGGAGGAGGAGGUGACAGAAAAAGGCUUAAGAUGGUUCCCUUGUUUCUAGAUUGGAUGUUUGUUUGAACAUAAAAAUGGCGGCAUCAUUGAAGGGACACUGCAGCUGAAGCCGUCUGGCAGUGUGGAAGUGGAGACGUGGGUUCUGGAAUGCAGCUAAGGGGCAAUGUCCAGUGGACAGUUGGAUGUGCCAGUCUAGAUCUCAGAGAAGAGAUUCCAUUCUCUGUGAACUAACUUCUAGGUUCUCCUGUAGCCUGAUAGAAAACCAAAGGAUUUGUCCCAUCCAGAGGAACUUUUCUCCUUACCCGUUUUCUUCCCCCCUUUCCCCCCUCUCCUUUUCUGUAGAAAAGGAUUGAUUCUCUGUGUAGCUGUGGCUGUAGACCACGCUGGCUUCAAACUCAGGGAUCUGUCAGUCUCUGCCCUACAAGUUCUGGGAUCAAAGGUGCGCCCCACCUGGCCACCUGGCCAAGAGGAACUUCUUUCAUUAAGUAGAAUCUUCUUCCUAAAUUGUUUGUUCUAGAAAGAGCUAGUUUCAUGUUACGAACCUUUCGGAAUCCUGGGAAAGGGCUCUGGGCUUUCGAUACAUUUUGAUACAAUAUAGCGCAUCUACUAAGCACCUGUGAGAUGAGGAGGGAGCCAGGCUGGCAGCUUUCUAGUUGCUCGUUGUUCAGAAGCGCUGAUGUUCCUCACUUUGUGAUAUUGACACUGUGCUUUGUGCAUUUAUAAAAUCAAGGCUGGAGGAGGUCUCAGCACAUGGUCUACAACCAAGGAAUAGUCUACGAUCAACGACUAAUUUCCCUUUCUCUUUGAAGCAGAAAGGUAUUAAGGGAGCUGUGUCUGUGCUCUCCAGAGAGGCAGAGUAACAGAGCACACGUGAAACUAUUAGAGACUGCCUCGUCAAUGUGGAGACCAAGAAGCCCUCCAGUCUGCUGUCUGCAGGAUGAAGAACAAGGAAGACCAGGGGUGUGAACCCCAGUGUGAGCCUGAGGGCUCUCAAGUCAGGACUGAUGUUUAAAGACGGGGAGAGAGGGGUUCCCUGGCUCAAACAGAUGGUAAAACUCACCCUUUCUCCACAUCUUUUGUGCAGUUUGUUUCUUCAAUGAAUUAGAUCAUGUCCAACUACACUCCAAAGACCCUUAUUCUUCGUUCAGUCUACAAAUUUAAGUGUUAAGGACUUCCAGAGACAUUUGUAGCAAACACAGAAAAUAGUCGUUUCUCAGUCUAUCUGGGUAUUCUGCACCUUAGCCAAAGGAAACCAUGAAAAACCAUCUUGGCUUUGUUUUUAUUAUAAAAAGACUAACUGGAGAGACCUAGUCCAGGCUGUGCCUGGCUGUGGGGAAGAGAAGGACAGGGAGGCAGACGACACCCUGUCUUGGUUAAGAGAGCCACAUGGAGGGAAAAGCCAAAUCAUCACUCUCCAGGGCCAAGGAAGCCAGAGGUUUCUUUUAGAAAUUCCAUCCGAAAGAAGCUAGAUGUGGAAUUCUGCAGGCCACAUCAUACUUCUCAGGGAUCCUCACGUAAAAUUUAACAGCCUAUUUCUUUGUCAUUCCCACAGAUGUUGGUGAGAGGGAUAUCUCUGUCACUAUAACAAAACGCACAAGACAAUCAACUUACAAAGAGGAAAGGUUUUCCACCUCAUCGUCUUAAAGGUUCCACUCCAUAACCAGGAAGACGAAUUUCUGGCAAGGUUGCAGGAGGCAAAGCCUGCUCUUAAGUGUGUAUGAGCAAUCACACCGUGGCCAGAAGCAAAGGAGAAGAGAGUGGGCACCACAUAGAGCAUGUGUGCCUCUUCUGGGGGGCACACAUCCAGUGAUCUAGGACUUCUCUGCUACAUCCCACCUCACCCCACAAUAGCCUUGCCUGACGAGCAUGCCUUCAACACAUGGGUCUGUGGUGGUACAUCAAAUCCAAAGUGUAGCAAGGGCCAGGUAGACUCACAACAUACAGGCCAUGUUCUCUUUGCCACAUGGUGAAGUGAAUCACAGAACAUCUUUUGAAUAGGAACUUUCACCUUCUAUUUUAUCAGCAGGAAUCUGGGCAGCCAGGAUUCAUCCAGUUGUUGGGCAGCCCACCAAAGUCUCAUCUUAAUGACCUGUGUUUAAGACAAACCUCUCAGAAUGAGGCCGUGGCUCACAAGCCUUUGCCUUGCAGGAUUGGGACCCUGAGUCCCAUCCCCAUUCUACCCUGCACAGCCCUAACAGUCAUAACCCAAUGAAAACCUCUGUCUCCCACACCCUCCAUGACUAACGACACGGGACACUCAACUAUAAAAAGCAUCAAGUGCAGACAGUCAUUUUGACUCUCUAGAACACUAAGCUAAUUAAUGCACCCUUGACUCUUCCUCCGUUCCCGUUAGGCUGACACUCGGGGCCAGCCCUCCUGUUUACUAGUUCUCUGAGAGGAAAUUUUUAGGAAAACGUUGCUUUUAGUACAACCUCGGUCACAUUCUUCUCACGUUGGUUGCUGCAUAGUCUGAAGGGGUUACGUCAAGGGGAAUUUGACACCCACCCUUCUCAUUUGCUCUUUGAUUUGCACACUCAUCAAAAGACUCGGGCCAUUUGAUACCUCACAAGAUGAUUCCUCCUAUAGCAGACACUGAGGGAAGGGGGAGUCACCUGGCCCCAGCAUCUGCUAACUGUGUUCUGUUCCUAUUUCAACUGUUGACUCGAUAAAUGCCCUUGGGCAAGUCACUGAACCCCUCCAUGUUUAGUCUCUGGGGAAUGAAAUCUGCCAACUGUAUUUUGUGGGUUUGAACCUCGCUGCCCUCUGGGAUAAAAAUAGGAGAGGACCAGGUGUCAGCUGGUCCCAAACUGAUGUAAGGACAGCGGCCAUGGGAUCUCAAAGAUGUCCUUGAGCUAUAAAUUCUAUAAUAGGAACCCAAACACGGGGGCCUCCGGCAUUUGGUUUGUGUGAUGAAUCCCCGCCCUUGAAACUUUUCCAGCCUGGCAAAAACUGGCAUUAACCUUCCACUCUUGAAUCUCUUGAAUCCUCUGCCUCGCCCUGCCCCCACUUCUCAGUAUUUCUCCCGCCAAGGUACUCAACCCUGAUCGCUGUUGCUUUUCACAAAGCUCUUGGACUGCAAACUUCCUGAGGGAGGAGAACACACCAGCCUGAGGCUUCAUUUUCAAGGACACACCAGGCAAGCGGGCACCCUACGUGAACGUUUGGCCAGACGGACGAGUGAAUGAACGCUGCCCAGGCCCCAGAGAACAUUCCACUCCCCCGCCUGAUGAUCAUCUAUUCGUGGCCAUGAUAAGAUGUGGAACAACAGUUUCAAGAGCAGAUGUCAACACCAGAACCAGAAUCAUCCAGAUUCAUGACCGAAUGUAAGACACAUUCAGAGCCUCUCAUCUGAUGUUCUGAGUAAAGACUGGCCAAGGUCUUAUCCCUACCUCAUACAAGAGCACAGGCAGCCUGAGGAGAGAUAUAGCCCAACCCAUUUGCACUAAUACCAUUCAACAGUUGAAGACCAUUUCACAGACCACGAAUUUUACCAAUGAAAAGUCCUUCCUAGCAUUCACUUAGCUAAUUGGCCAAACUUCUCUUGAUUCUGGCUAAAGUUAUCUACCGAACUCAGAGGCAACAGAAGUAAUUCAGACAUCUAAAAACUCAGUGUAAGGGGCUCCCAUAGUGCCACUGUUUGACACAGAAGGGAGUCUUGGCCCUAGAAGACCUUAUUUAAGCUUCUUGUCUUCCUAGGUCCCAGGGUAGGUUGGGUCUCUUAGCUAUUUGGCUUCCCCAGGUAGAGCGUAACCCAAUGAUACUCUUUAGGUUUCCCAUAGAUAGGCUAACAGUUCAGCCUGUAGGCUGUGACGGAAAGAACUUGACUGUCUGGGUUUUCUUCUGCCUUCCUCCCUGUACAGUACAGAUAGUUUUAGAUUCUAGCUGAAGUCAUCCAAUAGACCAAGAACACUUUGGUUUUACUGACUAAGGUCCCUCACUAUCCUCCCAGCAAUUCCUGCUAAAUACAACGUGGUAAGGUCAGCUGGAGUCAUCCACAAAUAUUUCUGCAAGUGCUCCCUCACAUGCUCUCUUCCCAUCUCUUAAAUGGGUGUGGGUGUCCCACACUGCAGACUUACCCAUAGUGCUCAGGUGAGAAGUAUGUUGCGGGUGGGGCAGUCUCAAGGUGUCUGUACCACUAUUGGUCUACUGAUCCUGAGUCUCUCUGUUGACAUUAAUGUUGUCCCUGGAAUAUCCCCCCUCCCACUUUGGUCCUUUAGUUCCCCACUGGCAUUAGUGUUUUUAUUUCAGUUUAAAGAACCGGACUAGCUGUAAGUGCUCUGCCUUCUAGGUCUGGAACAUAUCCUCCCAGGAUGAGACGCGUAUCCACUGGUUCUUGGUAUAUUAAGUGUGCAUCACCUGUUUUCCUGCCUGUUUGGCUUCCAUGAAACCCCUGGAUACAACACAUACAUAGCCUACUGCUGCUGACUUCUGUAGCCAUCUUGCCUUCCUUCCUGGCUACCUCUAUGAACAACAGGUUCCCUUGACUUACUCACUGUCUGUCUGUCUGUCUGUCUGUCUGUCUGUCUUUUUUCUUUCUCUUUCUUUCUGUCUGUCCGUCUGUCUGUCUCUCCGUCUUUCUUUUUCUUUCUUUUGUUCAUUCUUUCUUUCUUUUGUGGGCUGAUGGAGGCAAUACUGGGAAUUGAAACUAGGAACUCACGCUAGCCAUGUACUUCACCAGCAAGCUACAUCUGCAGCCCUAACUCUAAUGCUACUUACUAUUCAUGGGGUCUUUCUCUGUUUUCUCCCAUCUUUGCUCUCAAGCUCGACCAGUAAGUUUAUGCAUAGCAUUAAUUUUACAUGCAUCUCUGCUUAGUAAGCAAAUUUCUCUCACUUUCUGUCAUUCCCAUACCCUAGUAGGGGAAGCCCAAAGGACAGCUUCGGGUCACAAGCUGCCCUGUGUGCCCUUACCUGUUCACAGGCCUGUCAUUUGCUUAACUCAUAACCCGGCACACUUAGAUGCAGAAGUUGGUUAGUUCCAUGUCUUUCUGGGAAAUUUUAGCAAGUGACAAAAAGAUUUGAUAGGUGCUCAUUGACAGUUGGGACCGCAGUGAGGCAUGGCAAAGUCAUGAGGGUUUUUUUUUUUUUUUUUUAAGGAGCUUAAAUUAUUUCUUCUAUUUCUUGAAAUAAUUAUAGUUACAUCAUUCCCCCUUUUUUCCUCCCCCCUCCCAAGCCCUCCUACAAACCUACCCCUUGCUAUCUUUCAGAUUCAUGGCCUCUUCAUUAAUCAUUGUCACAUAUGUACACAUAGGAAUAAACAGGCAUUCUUAACUGAGUGUUAAAUUUUGACGCUCUGGACAAGUAGUCACAAGAAAGGACAAAAUGGUUCCAGGCCUAGAGAAAAGAGAAGCCAAGGAGACUGAGCUAGAUCAGAGUUGAAAACCGAUGGUUCAGCUCUGUAGACUACUUAUCUCACUCACCUUCGAGGCAUCCAUCCAUCAGGUCAGGGAGGGCUUAACCUGGGCCAGAGGUUGGACAACAACUUUUUCCUGCGGAAGGCAAGACAAUAAAACUUUUCAGUGUUGUAGGCUUCAAGUCUCUGUCGGAAUUAUCAGUUCUGCGGUGGAAGCACAAACGCAGUCAAAGGAACACGCGACACACGCGACAGUCCUCAUAGACCCUCAUGGACACAGAAAGUUGGACUUUACAAAAGAGAGUUAUUUCACUUGAUGCAUUUUGGAGUUUGCCCGCACUCGAGACUGUGUACCAUGUACCUGCGGUGCCCACAGAGACCGAAGAGGGAGUCAGAUCUAAGGGACAGCUAAGGGACAGCGGUGGGCUGCCACACGGUGCUGGGAACUGCGCCUGGUCCUCUGUAAGAGUGGUCAGUGCUCUCAACUGUUAAGCCAUCUCUCCAGCCCCUCACUUUUUGUGUGUCCCCAGAUGAUUUUUACUUUGGUGUCUUCUCAGUCAUUUAUAAAUGUAGAAAUCAUUCCCGCCUUGUGAGCUGGGGGGGAUUAGAGCAGAUAUGGCCUGGGGAUGGGGCUUUGCACCCCAACCUCAGUACUGGAGGAACCUGAUCUGGAACUGGUGACUGAGAUCAGCAUGGGGUCUACCGUUCACUGUGAGUAUAGGGCUGAUUGUGAAUCUUCUGGAGUUUCCUAUUCCCCUUGGCAACGGAAUGCCAGGAUGACAAUGGUCAAGUGGUAUGGACAGUAGGGCACAGGGCCACCUGUUGAACAAAUAAAGGAAUACCGAGACACGAGCUAAGGACAACGUGGCCAAAACUUGUGCAUACCACGGGAAGGUGGUUCAAAGAGGCUUGUGACAAGUCAGCAGGUUGGGAGAAGUCUGGGUUGGACACUUGCCUGGAUCCAAUGCCCAGAGGCCAGGAUGGGACAGAGGCCUUUAGCAAGUAGAGCCACACACAAGUACCAGCUGAGAGCCAGCCUGAGGCCCUCAGAGCAGAACUGCCUGCCUCUAGGUUGGCUAAAGCGUUAGGGGACUAGGUGAGGGGGACGGCUAGCACUUCCCCCACUGGGAUUUGCAGAAAGCUCUGUCUGCACCAAGGAGAGUGGGGUGUAGCCUUUCAGAAACAGAAUCUGCUUUUCCUUAGAGGAUUUUUUUUUCCGGAGCUGAGGACUGAACCCAGGGCCUUGUGCUUGCUAGGCAAGCGCUCUACCACUGAGCUAAAUCCCCACCCCACCCCUUUUUUUUGAGAUUGGAUUUUUUACCAUGUGUCUAGGAUCUCAACCCUCUUGCCUCUGCUAAAGCAAUAUACUAUAAGCAUCCUGACAGAAACAAGGCUCCCAUUGGCUACCCGAUAUCCAAACAAGGAUCCCCAAGGAACUGUAAUUUCCCCAGAAAUCAUUCUGGGAAAGAAAAGGCUGAAGCCAGGUGCCUAUCAGGAGAGGAUCUUGGUUGCCAGGAAAACUUGCACCCUGCUCUGCAAGGUUGUCAGACAGCUCUGCAGGUGGGACUAGAAUCAAGAUAGCCAUGGGUCAGGGAACCGGGAACCACCUGCCGUUUCAGGGCUGCUGAGCUGCGCACGCAGGAGUCCCUUCACCACCUUAUUUAUUCCUCUAACCCCUGGGCCCAUAUUGAAUCCCCCCCCCCCCCAUCCCCUCUGCGCGCACUUCUUUCUAUUAAUGUCACUUGUGUAUUUAGUUGGUGUAUGUGAGCAGCCUAGCUUGCUAGAGCUGCCGGGGCUCAAAGCCUAAAACUUCUGGCAACAGUAGCACCAUGCGAGUGUCUCAGGUCCCCUGCACAAAGGCUGGACUCUAUCUGACAAAGAGUCGCAGAGCAGCGAUAAGGCUCCAGGCCACCGUUGGUGUGCUAUGCAUUUUCUGUAUGGUAGAGGCAUCACCCUGGGAAGUUCUCUAUUUGUGGUUCAGCUUCUGUGAUUCAGAAGAGCCCUGGAAGCAGGGCUGUGAUCUCAGGAGGGUUGUUCCAGAGCACGCUCAAAAACCCCGCUCACAUUCAGAGCCAGAGGUCAUUCAGCAGUCCUAAGCUGCUCGCCUCUAAUUCAAUUUGAGGGAAGCAAAACUUGAUUUCGUGAGGCCUCAAUUUCUUACCUGCCCGAGUGUGCUACAUCAAUGUUUACUGGAGUAGCACACCAAACACCCUCAGAGUUUUCCUUUUGAGAUGCUUAAAUCCAGUGUUCAGAAGGUAAACAUUUCAUAAAUAGAUGUGAAAUGUAUACAACACUGUACACAAUAUCGCGGGUAAAAUAAACUACAGUCAUUUAUUACCACGAAA